GACGAACGCUGGCGGCGUGCUUAACACAUGCAAGUCGAACGGAAAGGCCUGCUUUCCCUUGUGGAUUGCGGGUACUCGAGUGGCGAACGGGUGAGUAACACGUGAGUUAUCUGCCCCCAACUUGGGUAUAAGCCUGGGAAACUGGGUCUAAUUCCCGAUAGGACUGCAGGGUGGUGCCUGUGGUGGAACACGAUUUUCUAGUGGUUGGGGAUGAGCUCGCGGCCUAUCAGCUUGUUGGUGGGGUAAUGGCCUACCAAGGCGGCGACGGGUAGCCGGCCUGAGAGGGUGGACGGCCACAUUGGGACUGAGAUACGGCCCAGACGCCUACGGGAGGCAGCAGUGGGGAAUAUUGCACAAUGGGCGGAAGCCUGAUGCAGCGACGCCGCGUGGGGGAUGACGGCCUUCGGGUGGUAAACUCCUUUCGACCGCGAGGAAGCCACCUGGUUGGAAGGGUGGUGACGGUAGUGGUAGAAGAAGCACCGGCUAACUACGUG
rnacentral:rRNA from 1 species